rnacentral:rRNA from 1 species
AUUGAACGCUGGCGGCAGGCCUAACACAUGCAAGUCGAACGAGUGGCGGACGGGUGAGUAAUGCUUGGGAAUCUAGCUUAUGGAGGGGGAUAACUACGGGAAACUGUAGCUAAUACCGCGUACCAUAGGAUGAGCCCAAGUGGGAUUAGGUAGUUGGUGAGGUAAAGGCUCACCAAGCCGACGGUCCCUAGCUGGUCUGAGAGGAUGACCAGCCACACUGGAACUGAGACCCGGCCCAGACUCCUACGGGAGGCAUCAGUAGGGAAUAUUGCGCAAUGGGCGCAACCCUGACGCAGCCAUGCCGCGUGAAUGAAGAAGGCCUUCGGGUUGUAAAGUUCUUUCGGUCGGGAGGCGUUACCGACAGAAGAAGCACCGGCUAACUCCGUGCCAGCAGCCGCGGUAAUUC